UACAGAGGCCUCAAGCGUUGUUCGGAUUCAUUGGGCGUAAAGGGUGCGUAGGCGGUCGGGUAAGUCGGAUGUGAAAUCCUGGGGCUCAACCUCAGAACUGCAUUCGAUACUGCCUGGCUGGAGGAUUGGAGAGGAGAGUGGAAUUCACGGUGUAGCAGUGAAAUGCGUAGAGAUCGUGAGGAAGACCAACGGCGAAGGCAGCUCUCUGGACAAUUCCUGACGCUGAGGCACGAAGGCCAGGGGAGCAAACGGGG
rnacentral:rRNA from 1 species